AAGGCGACGAUCGGUAGCCGGACUGAGAGGUUGAACGGCCACAUUGGGACUGAGACACGGCCCAGACUCCUACGGGAGGCAGCAGUGGGGAAUAUUGCACAAUGGGGGAAACCCUGAUGCAGCGACGCCGCGUGGAGGAAGAAGGUCUUCGGAUUGUAAACUCCUGUUGUUGAGGAAGAUAAUGACGGUACUCAACAAGGAAGUGACGGCUAACUACGUGCCAGCAGCCGCGGUAAAACGUAGGUCACAAGCGUUGUCCGGAAUUACUGGGUGUAAAGGGAGCGCAGGCGGGAAGACAAGUUGGAAGUGAAAUCUAUGGGCUCAACCCAUAAACUGCUUUCAAAACUGUUUUUCUUGAGUAGUGCAGAGGUAGGCGGAAUUCCCGGUGUAGCGGUGGAAUGCGUAGAUAUCGGGAGGAACACCAGUGGCGAAGGCGGCCUACUGGGCACCAACUGACGCUGAGGCUCGAAAGUGUGGGUAGCAAACAGG
rnacentral:rRNA from 1 species